GACGUAGGGCGCGAGCGUUGUCCGGAUUUAUUGGGCGUAAAGAGCUCGUAGGCGGCUUGUCGCGUCGACUGUGAAAUCUCAGGGCUCAACUCUGACAUUGCAGUCGAUACGGGCAGGCUAGAGUUCGGUAGGGGAGACUGGAAUUCCUGGUGUAGCGGUGAAAUGCGCAGAUAUCAGGAGGAACACCUGAGGUGAAGACGGGUUGCUGGGCCAACACUGACGCUGAUGCGCGAAAGCCAGGGGAGCAAACGGG
rnacentral:rRNA from 1 species